AACGAACGCUGGCGGCAUGCCUAACACAUGCAAGUCGAACGAGACCUUCGGGUCUAGUGGCGCACGGGUGCGUAACGCGUGGGAACCUGCCCUUAGGUUCGGAAUAACUCCCCGAAAGGGGUGCUAAUACCGGAUAAUGUCUUCGGACCAAAGAUUUAUCGCCUUUGGAUGGGCCCGCGUUGGAUUAGCUAGUUGGUAGGGUAAAAGCCUACCAAGGCGACGAUCCAUAGCUGGUCUGAGAGGAUGAUCAGCCACACUGGGACUGAGACACGGCCCAGACCCCUACGGGAGGCAGCAGUGGGGAAUUUUGGACAAUGGGCGAAAGCCUGAUCCAGCAAUGCCCGGUGAGUGAUGAAGGCCUUAGGGUUGUAAAGCUCUUUUACCCGGGAUGAUAAUGACAGUCCCGGGAGAAAAAGCCCCGGCUAACCCCGU
rnacentral:rRNA from 1 species